rnacentral:lncRNA from 1 species
CGGGGUUGUGCAAUCCUGCGUACGCACAGAGAUGGCACAGUGCGACUUGUGAUAGCCUGUGCUCCCUGCUCACGCAUUGCAGCAUCCGGAAACGGAAUCGAGAGGGGCCGGGCUGAACAGGAGGUGUUAUGGACAGACUGCUUCCUUCAUGUGUCACUACCAUCAUCUGCAAGAUCACAGAGCUUAAAGAGAAGGUUUACCCUCUACAUCAGGAAACCUCACCAUUCUCUGUCUGAACUGAACACUGAACCAUGAACCUCAAAGGAACCUAAACUCUCCCAAUGACUGGAACAUCCUGAUGUAAUGAUCCAACACAGUCUUGGCUUCCAUGACAGCUUAAUAAGGUGGGUGCUAUAGGACAUUUUUC